rnacentral:rRNA from 1 species
UAUCUUCGUCGCGGAGUUAUUCUGACUAAAGAUAAUCUUAUUAAGAGAAAUUGGCAUGGAAGUCCGCAAUGUGUGUUUUUUCACCAUGAUGAGACAAUAAAAUAUUUAUUCUUCCAUUGCAAAUUUGUUCGUUCUACAUGGUUAGUCUUUCAAAUAGCUUCUGGCUUGUUUCCUCUUACUAGUGUUGCCAAUAUAUUUGGCAACUGGUUACAUGGGAUUGGUCACAGUUUUCGAACUCUUCUCAGGGUGAGAGUGUUCUCCGUUAUUUGGUCGCUUUGGCUAUGUAGAAAUGAUAAAGUUUUUGAUAAAAGUACUUCUCUGAUGCAGGUUAUCGUUUAUCGUUCUCUCUACAACGUGUGGAGAAUCGAGACGUGUUCGCGGAGGUGUGUGCAUGAUUGA